AUGAGGCGGUGCUGUCUAGGUGACUGUGAGGGUCCCCUGCAGCCAUGCACGCCAGCCCCCGGCUCCCGGAGCACAGUACGUGGGGUCAUUAAGUGCCGGUACUGCAGGAGGGGAAGGGGACCGCGGAGCAAAGUGGCCCGGAGCCUCCGAACCCAGUACAGACCCUCUCCCACGCACCCCCUUCCCGGCCCGGAGGAACCCUACCGACCUGCCCCCGGGGGUUGCAAAACCCGGAGCGGAUUCUCGGAAUGGGUUCUGGGAGGAGCGCUCCCGGAGGGAGGAGGAAAACCCGGGCAGGAUCCGCGGCAGGAGCGGGGCCCCACGGCCCCUCGGCCCCCAGCCCUGCCCCGCGCGCCCGGCGGGCCCAGGGGGUUUGAAGCCCCGCUGCGCCGCGGGGAAGGAGCCGGGCCGGGCCCCGCGGGCCGCCCGGGGCCCGGGGCUCGGGGGCCGGGGGGGGGGGCGCGCGGCCUCCGCACUGGGGCGCGGGUCACGUGUGAGGAGGGGCGAAAGUCUCGCAAAGCGGGGCGGCGUGCCGCGAGUUGGGAGUUCUCGGCGCGCCGCGGGCGGCGGGAGCUCGGGCUCCCGGGCGAGCCGGGGACGCGGCGGAGGCGCGGGCCUGGGUCCGAGACAGCGGGGGCCGCACCGAGAGUGGGAGGGAGGGAGAGACACGCAGAAGGACAGACGGCGCCCGGGAGGAGGACAGAGAGAGACGCGCAGGGGAGACCGAGACAGGGCAGAGGCGGAGGGAGGCAGGGGAGGCUCUGGGAGGGCGGCGGGCAGCAGACCGAGCCCCCGCCGGGAGACACGGGAGGCGGGCUCGGGGACCGAGGGGCGGACGGACAGACGCACGGAGACCCCGGGGGCAGCCCGGCGGGCGGCGGCGGGUCCCGGGCCGGCCGGCCGGCCGAGGGCUUCCCGGGGCCGGGGCGGGGAGCGGGGAGCGGGGAGCGGGGAGCGGAGCGCGGGGCGGGGAGCGGAGCGCGGGGCGGGGAGCGGCGCGGAGAGACAGCGCGACGGCAGCGGGGGGGCGGCGGAGGGCCGGCGGCUGCGGCGGGGGCGGGGGGCGCGAGCGCGGGCGGCCGAGGCCAUGGGCCCCCGGAUCCCCGCGCCCUGAGCCGGGCCCGGCCCGACGAUGCUGACGCCCAGGCGGCGCCGGGGGCGCGGCGCGGGGCAGCGCUGAAAGUUGAGCGGCCCGCGGGGAGCGGCGCGGGACGGCCCCGAGGCGCGGAGACCCGGACACCGACGGACAGACCCACCGGCAGCCGGGGAGGGGGGCGGGGCCGGCCGGCCGAGUGCGCGGGGAGGGGGCGCCGGGACUCCCCUCUCCCCGCCCGGGACGCCGCCCGCCCGCCCGCGCCGUGGGAUGUAGAGCCCGCUCGCCGCCUUCUGGACCUUCGUCGGACCCUCCGCCCCGCGGCCCUGCGUCUUCCCAGGUGACCACGCCGGCCUCAGGACAUGCACGGACACAGCCGCAACGGGCAGGCCCACGUGCCCCGGCGGAAACGCCGCAACCGCUUCGUCAAGAAGAACGGCCAAUGCAACGUCUACUUCGCCAACCUGAGCAACAAGUCGCAGCGCUACAUGGCGGACAUCUUCACCACCUGCGUGGACACGCGCUGGCGCUACAUGCUCAUGAUCUUCUCCGCGGCCUUCCUCGUCUCCUGGCUCUUCUUUGGCCUCCUCUUCUGGUGUAUCGCCUUCUUCCACGGCGACCUGGAGGCUGGCCCGGCGGCGGCGGCGGCAGCGGCGGCGGCGGGGGCCCCGACGGGCAGUGGCGCGGCGGCCCCGACGGCCCCCAAGCCCUGCAUCAUGCACGUGAACGGCUUCCUGGGCGCCUUCCUGUUCUCGGUGGAGACGCAGACGACCAUCGGCUACGGGUUCCGGUGCGUGACGGAGGAGUGCCCGCUGGCGGUCAUCGCCGUGGUGGUCCAGUCCAUCGUGGGCUGCGUCAUCGACUCCUUCAUGAUCGGCACCAUAAUGGCCAAGAUGGCCCGGCCCAAGAAGCGGGCGCAGACGCUGCUGUUCAGCCACCACGCGGUCAUCUCGGUGCGCGACGGCAAGCUCUGCCUGAUGUGGCGCGUGGGCAACCUGCGCAAGAGCCACAUCGUGGAGGCCCACGUGCGGGCCCAGCUCAUCAAGCCCUACAUGACCCAGGAGGGCGAGUACCUGCCGCUGGACCAGCGGGACCUCAACGUGGGCUACGACAUCGGCCUGGACCGCAUCUUCCUGGUGUCGCCCAUCAUCAUCGUCCACGAGAUCGACGAGGACAGCCCGCUCUAUGGCAUGGGCAAGGAGGAGCUGGAGUCGGAGGACUUUGAGAUCGUGGUCAUCCUCGAGGGCAUGGUGGAGGCCACCGCCAUGACCACCCAGGCCCGCAGCUCCUACCUGGCCAGCGAGAUCCUGUGGGGCCACCGCUUCGAGCCCGUGGUCUUCGAGGAGAAGAGCCACUACAAGGUGGACUACUCGCGCUUCCACAAGACCUACGAGGUGGCCGGCACGCCCUGCUGCUCCGCCCGGGAGCUUCAGGAGAGCAAGAUCACCGUGCUGCCUGCCCCGCCGCCCCCGCCCAGUGCCUUCUGCUACGAGAAUGAGCUGGCCCUCAUGAGCCAGGAGGAAGAGGAGAUGGAGGAGGAGGCGGCAGCCGCUGCUGCCGUGGCCGCAGGCCUGGGCCUGGAGGCGGGCUCCAAGGAGGAGGCGGGCAUCAUCCGAAUGCUGGAGUUUGGCAGCCACCUGGAUCUGGAGCGCAUGCAAGCCACCCUCCCUCUGGACAACAUCUCCUACCGCAGGGAGUCUGCCAUCUGACCUCCAGGCCCCGCCCUCGUCACUUCCCACAAGAGCCUCUGCCGGGGGGUGGGAUGCCAGGACACCCCCUCCACACUCAGGACAGAGCUGACCCUGGCCCCAUGGACCUCCUGGAGGGAGGUGGGGGCUUCAAAGACUGGGGAACCCCUUCCUAUUGACUCCAGAGCCCAGGCCUGGGAAGGGCCCAGGAUCCCCUCUGCCCUGUCAGCCUACCUACUGGCAUCUCGGGGACCCCAGACCCACCACCCUUUUCCCACUGACACUUCAAGGACGUGCCCCCUUUACUCUCAGAACCUUGGGGAAGGCGGCUGGACUGCUGGGGGGUGGGCAUCAUGGGGUUCUGGGGUGGGCAGGGGUUAGUGUGGGGGGAGGGAGGGCGGGGGUGCGUUUCUUUUGCAUGACUGUGACCUGUUGCUCUUGACUUUCUUUUGUAAAUAUCUAUAAAUGGAGAGAUGGAGGCACCAAAUCCACCUUCUGCCAUUUGUACCUGCAGGAUGAGGAGGUGCGGUCCCUCUCUGUGAACCCCUCCCCCUCCCGGCCCAGUGAGCCUAGCCCCUUCCCCCCCCCCCCCCACCCAGCUGGCUGGUCCCCAAAGCCAGCCAUCCUGGCCCCUGGAUGGUGUUGGGUUUGGGUGCAGAGGUGGGGCCCCAAGAGGCAGGACGAGGACCAUCCCCUCCCUGUGGUCCCUCCGGAUCCCCGGGGUCCAGCCCAGAUUGACAAUGGAGUUUGUAACUAUAUAUUUUUAAUAAAGUAUAUGGUCCAUUAGGGGUAGGCUGAUUGAAGAUGACAAGCGGAAGAGAAGAGAUAGAGUGAGAGAGAGAGACCAACAUGAUGUGAGUGUGUCUGUGUGUGGUACGUAUGUGUCCCUUUCUGAGACACUGACCCUUGGAGGGGACUUUACCGCCUGCCAUUCUCCUUCCUGGGAUCCAAUGGGAGAGAUCCCCAGCAGGCUUCAGAGGACCUGGGCUUUGCUACUUAACAGCUGUAUGGCUGCCAGCAAGUUGCCCAUCUGCUCUUGGCCUCAGUUUCACCAUCCGUAGAAUGGGAUGAGCCACUGCUCCCUCCUGAGAGAUGAUGGGCAGGAAAGCCCUGUGUGGAUGUCAGCUAACCCUCUGUAACCAGGGGGAAGUGGGGAAGGCCUGCCUGGUUACAUCUACACACAGGCACACACUCCAGGCUGGGCUGAUGAAUUUGCCCUCAGGACACUGGUGGGACGCUGGGAAACCUGGUCCUAGUCAGACUUGGUCUCCAUUUCACUGUAGGUGGGACUUGGGGUGAGUCCCUCCAUUUCUCUGGGCUUCAGUUAGCCUGUGCUGUGCAACAAGCCACUCUGAAACCUAGACCACAGUGCCAUAUUCUUUCUGGAGCUUCUGUGGGUGGAUUUGCCUGGUUUCUCUGGGCUCCCUCCAACAGCCAUGGAAUGUCAGGUAGGCUGUACCAUCCAAGAUGGCCCCACCCAUCAGGUAGUUGGUCUGGCUGUCAGCCCGGGCCUCCCUUCUUCCAAAUUCCUUCAUGGCAUCUCAGGGCAGCAACCUAAGAGGCACAAGGCAGAAGCUACAAGGUCUCUUGAGCCAGGCUUCGAACUUGACAUCAUCUCCACUGCAUUCUAUUGGCCAAUGAGGUCACGAAGGCAGCCCAGAUUCAAAGGGUGGGAAAUCUCCAGCCUUUGGAAGCAUGGUAGAGCCACAUGGCAAAGGGUGUCCACACUGGGGCGGCAUGUGGCCAUACUUGGUAGUCGAUCACAGAACAUUUCAAUUUUGAGAGCUACUCCAGCUCUACCUGUAGUCUAGGUGCCAGCUGUGUACCCAACAGUCAAGGUGUAAGGAAGCAGAGGGAACCCUCGCUGUUCCCAGGAAUCUUCUAGGUAAAAGGUGCCACUACCUCAGGAAACACAGGCAACUAGCAGGCAAGCUCACCUACUGUGAAGUGCUGUGAGCUGCUUUGUGCAUUCACCACUUCACCAGCAUUGGCAACGUGGCUGCCAUUCAGGUAAAACAUUGUGCAUCCAACGUGCUUUAACAGUUUUUUUUUUUUUUAAGAUUUUAUCAAUCUAUUCAUGUGAAACACAAAGAGGGAGGCAGAGACAUAGGCAGAGACAGAAGCCGGUUCCCCACAGGGAGCCCGAUGGAGGACUCGAUCCCAGGACCCCGGGGCCAUGACCUGAACCAAAGGCAGACAGACGCUCAACCACAGAGCCACCCAGGUGCCCCUGCUUUAACAGUUUAACAAGAGAACCUGAGGCCUCUGUCCUGGAGAAAGAAGCUAGCCUGGGGUCCAAAUCCCUCAACAAAUAACUUGUCCUAAUGCCUCCCUUCACAUAACACCCUUCACAUCCCUUUAUUCACCGAACUCAUACCAAAUGCCAAGAAACAGGUAGACAAGGAUUGUGGUCUCCAUCUUCCUGGAGACCUGGGAACUAAGGGGCUGACUUGAACCAAGGUGGAGCCUGGCAGAGGCUAGGAGGCCUGCUUCCCUUUCAAUCACGCUCUCCCAGGCAGGGGCUAUGUGAGAGGCAGGGCUGCCCCCACCCAGACUCCCCAGAGUGCACCUGUGGCCUUCAGGGGCCCCUGAAGGGCCUUCGGGAACCACUCGGCAAGAUAAAACUCAGUUUCCUAGCUGCCCAAGCUCUCAGAGGGGCCUUUGGUGCCCUUGGGCCAGGCGAGAGCACCCCGGGUCUCACGUCCCACACAACUGGUCAGAGAUGUCCCACCAUCCAGUCCUCCCCACCUUCAUCGCCUCUGGCCAACCUCAUUCCCAGUGAUGCUUUGUUUGGCGCCUGGGUGACCAGCAGUAACUAGAGACCUCAGACUCAGGCACCCUUGGACUCAGAAUCUUUGACCAGGAAUGCAUCUUAGAGGUUAACCCGAGGGUAUGACCUGGAGGAGACAGGAUAGGCAAGUUCUGACAAGGGCUGGAAAAGCAAGGACUUUCUGGGGUGCCAGGGAGGAGUGCAGGCCUGGGCACUGGAGGGCGGGCGGG
rnacentral:lncRNA from 1 species